CUCGAUUCACAAUCUCGGAUCGGGGGCAUGACAGUUUUAAUGCCUAUUAUUGAGCACAUGGAAUCUGAAUGGAAUGAAUAUUGGGAUAAGGUAUGUCCUAUGCAUAAUUUAGCUGUUGUUUUUGAUCCACGAGUUAAAUUGAGUGAUGUGCUAAUUUUACUUGAUGCAUAUUGUGAAAAUAUGAUGCUGGAUCCUGAACUUGUUAAAGCUGAGAUAACAAAACUUCUUUAUGAUAUUUAUGCGC
rnacentral:lncRNA from 1 species